UCGAAGUGGGUGUGUUGAGAUUGCCGAUGUGUGCCACUGCAUCGGGCUUUUUAUGUGGGUUUUCAGAUUUGUGUGACUGGAGCUGUCAGCCAUGAACCAUCCCCCCAGUCUCUCUGUGCUUCUCUUCAAAGCAUCUGUGCGGGGAACAAUGACUUGGAGCUGGCUCUGCUCAGCCAGGAAAUUUUAGACUUUAAAGCAUGGUCUGUAAAGCAAGCCCUAGAAGCAAUACAGUGGAGAUGGGAAUAACUCAGUCAUUACCGUGAGCCUCCUGAAGAAAUAUGGAAGUAACUCAGUCAUUACUGUGAGCCUCCUGAAGAAAUAUGGAAGUAACUCAGUCAUUAUCAUCAGCCUCUGAAGAAAUAUGGAAGUAACUCAGUCAUUAUCAUCAGCCUCUGAAGAAAUAUGGAAGUAACUCAGUCAUUACUGUGAGCCUCUGAAGAGAAGACCCAGAGGAAUUCCGGACAGCAGUCUACACGGGGCCAUGCUCUCUCCAUUCUCACAGGGUCAGCCAGCAGCAGUGCCACUAAGCAUUUGUGAACUGAUAACAUCAGGAAGCCCCUAACCAGGCAUCAUGAUGUGGUACCUAAGCCUUGGCAGAGCCGUGGAUCUAAAGCCCCAAGAGCUGCCCUCCGAAGCGGGCCACGAAGACCUGGUCUUCUUCAGACUGUCUCUCGCGUUGGGACUUGGCCUUUCUGGUCCUGCAGAAUAAAUAUGCUCAUUCUUUCUUCUGGCA